UACAAGUUACAAUCAAAUGAGCAUCACUCCUGAUUUUUCUGAUACAGACGGUGGAAUAAGAGAGAGGAUCAUUCAAGAAGGGAAUGGUGAGAAAUAAAAAGUAGGUAAUGAAGAACAACAAUUGGGUGUGAAAAAACUGGAAAUGGAAUGGAUAAGGGCCCCCACAGAUAGAGGAAAGUCAAGCUUCAUCAACUCAUCAAAUGUUAAAAAAAUUCAAUAUUUUUUUUUAUUUUUU
rnacentral:lncRNA from 1 species